rnacentral:rRNA from 1 species
AACAGGAUUAGAUACCCUGGUAGUCCACGCCGUAAACGAUGUCGACUUGGAGGUUGUGCCCUUGAGGCGUGGCUUCCGGAGCUAACGCGAUAAGUCGACCGCCUGGGGAGUACGGCCGCAAGGUUAAAACUCAAAUGAAUUGACGGGGGCCCGCACAAGCGGUGGAGCAUGUGGUUUAAUUCGAUGCAACGCGAAGAACCUUACCUACUCUUGACAUCCAGAGAACUUAGCAGAGAUGCUUCGGUGCCUUCGGGAACUCUGAGACAGGUGCUGCAUGGCUGUCGUCAGCUCGUGUUGUGAAAUGUUGGGUUAAGUCCCGCAACGAGCGCAACCCUUAUCCUUUGUUGCCAGCGGUUAGGCCGGGAACUCGAAGGAGACUGCCAGUGAUAAACUGGAGGAAGGUGGGGAUGACGUCAAGUCAUCAUGGCCCUUACGAGUAGGGCUACACACGUGCUACAACGGCAUAUACAAAGAGAAGCGACCUCGCGAGAGCAAGCGGACCUCAUAAAGUAUGUCGUAGUCCGGAUUGGAGUCUGCAACUCGACUCCAUGAAGUCGGAAUCGCUAGUAAUCGUGGAUCAGAAUGCCACGGUGAAUACGUUCCCGGGCCUUGUACACACCGCCCGUCACACCAUGGGAGUGGGUUGCAAAAGAAGUAGGUAGCUUAACCUUCGGGAGGGCGCUUACCACUUUGUGAUUCAUGACUGGGGUGAAGUCGUAACAAGGUAACC